GACUGGUCUGAAUACACUGGUGUUUACAACUAAUUGAUCACAACCAGUUCCAGAUUUCUUUCUUCCUUCUCCACUCCUACUGUUUUACUUAACUAAUCAUAA
rnacentral:Y_RNA from 1 species